GUGAUGAAGUUGGUCUUUUCAGAGGCGUGAAGAGGGGAACGAAUGCUGA
rnacentral:snoRNA from 1 species